CCAGUAAGAUGCAUCAAUUUACUGUCCAUCUUGAUUACACUGAGUCGACAAUGUAGUUUGAAUUUAUCAACAUUAUUUCAAACUUUGCGCAGUUCCCGAGGUGCCGUGCAGAUUAUUCUGCCCGGUCGGUCGGAGCAGCUACAUCAGAACCAGAUAACUUGGCGCAAUCAGAUGGGAGGGGUUUCUAAAAAAAUAACAAUUUUAUAUUUUAAUAUGUGCUUUAUAAUUAUAAGGCCCAAGAAUGGCAACACUUUUUUACUCUUUGUCUUUGGUAUUGUUUUUUCUUUUAUUUUAUUUUUAAUAAAAUCUAAAAUGGCCUCUCCCAUCAGUGUUGCUCCAAGAACAUUUUUUACAGAAAUUUCGAUGCAUUUAUUGUGUGGUCGAAAUAUCUUAUAUGGCUUAAUGUUAUUUUUUUUUAUAAAUAUUUUUUUAUAAAUAUUAAUUAUUAUAAUAGCUUAUAGCUUUCGUUAUUGAAUAUCUCCCAUUCAUUGUUAACCGCUGUCGCUGUUCUUAUAUCUAUCCAGACCCCCUAAACAAAUGGUAAACGACUCUAUCGAUUGAUACGUUUUCGUUACCACAUACAUGAAGUAAAACGAGACUAUAAUAUCCGGCGUGUUUUAUUUUUUGUAACCAACAAAAAACGUAUUGUCGAUAGAUUCGUUUGCAACUUGUCUAUGGGUUCAUAUAGAUAGAAUAUUAUAGUAAUUGAUAGCUAAAUGGGAUUUCAUUUAGGUUGUUAAGUUUUAAUUUAUUAGCUUUUGCUACUAAAAUCAAUGCAAUACACUGCCUCUAAACGUCAUUUCAAGGUAAAACAUACACUAGUUUUUAAUUUUGGAACACAACUGUGAAAAUUGUAUCCAAUUUGGUGCAGUACUUUUUGCAUAAUGCCCAUAUAAACAGAAAAACGGACGGACAGAACUUAUUUUUCUGCUCUUAUACACACGUACACAGGGAUUUCAGAAAUAGGAAAACCAGGGAAAUAGAUCACUUGUAUAGUACGCAUCAAGAUGGAACAUAACCAGUUUUUAAGUUUCACCAAUACAACCAUAAAAGUCGCAUCUAAUUUGAUGCACAUACAGACAGACAGACAAAGUUUCUAAAAAUAUUGUUUUAAAUUCUAUUGCUCUUAUUAAAAAUCCUCAAAAAUAUAAUAAUAUAAAUAUAAUAUUUUUUUUCUCAAUUAUCUCUUCGAUACAGACAAUGUCUUGUUACAAUUUUAUUAGUGAGAUAUCUGUUUAUUUGUUUGUUUAUUUACAUAGCAAGUAUUUUGCGGGAUAGACAGAGAGAGCCGUGUCAGAGGCCUAUAUUAGGGUGUCCCAAGAUAGAGGGACAAUUUUUUUUGCUAAAUCAAGUGCGCGUACCCUCUAUUUUUAUUCCGUUUGACCUUAUUGACUCAAACAAUAAAUAUUAUUACGACUGGACAGUGAUAACCCGUACCGACUUGACGCCAAACUUUUGACGUGAUUUGUUCUGACUCUGACUAUAUGAAGAAUUAAGAAUUUAGUUUUUAUUUCUUAAUUAAAACUCCAUUACAACCGAAUAGCAUAUUAUUUACUCAUUUACAUUAAUAAAUAAUGUUAUUGUUCAAAUUUUCUUUUGAACAUUUGUUUUUUUUUCAGUCAGGACAAAUUUUCCAGUGUUCAUGUACGCAACGUUACAAAUAUUGUUUUUGUUCCUCCUCAACUGUGAUUAAUCCAUGAGUUUUGUAUCAACUUAAACACCCUUUCGUCUACAUCGUUUCGUGCUGAAUCUUUCUAGCUUCUUGGAACGAAAUACUAUUUGAUCACAAAGUAGAACAUUCAUGUCUUCAAUUUUAAAGUGAUUGAACAAGGACUUUUACUGAAAUGAAAUCGGGGAUGUUUUUUUUCUGAAACAAAAUAAGAGUACUUUUAGUAGAAAAAUGUACUUUUACAGAAAACGUAGGUAAAAACUUCUAUAACUAUUCAUGUCAAUGUUCUUUAACACGUUGAGCGCCAUGUCAGCCAUCGGUGGCUGACACUAGACUUUCCGUUUAGGCCGCGUCAGCCAUCGGUGUCUGACAGCGUGUAACAUGAGAACUAUAAAAUUUUACACUAUUUUACGGAAUUACAGAAAACAAAACAGACUUGGUGCGUAACGUGUUCAAUGAAUGCCUAUAGAAAUCACGUUCCAAACGUAAACUACCUUCUACUACGAUAGGAAACACCAGCUCCUGCAGUACCAGCGCUUCGAAGCGGCGCGCGUGGCCUGAACGGGAUUGCUGUAGAAAUACGCGUGGCGCUCAACGUGUUAA
rnacentral:lncRNA from 1 species